AGGGAGCGCCACGGCCAACAGGCGCCUGCUCCGAAAUCCAAAGAGGCUAGACGCAUGGACUUACUGG